rnacentral:rRNA from 1 species
UACGAAGGGGGCUAGCGUUGUUCGGAUUUACUGGGCGUAAAGCGCACGUAGGCGGAUUCUUAAGUCAGAGGUGAAAUCCCAAGGCUCAACCUUGGAACUGCCUUUGAUACUGAAGAUCUUGAGUUCGGGAGAGGUGAGUGGAACUGCGAGUGUAGAGGUGAAAUUCGUAGAUAUUCGCAAGAACACCAGUGGCGAAGGCGGGUUGCUGGGCUGACACUGACGCUGAUGCGCGAAAGCCAGGGGAGCGAACGGG